rfam:Eggerthella sp. YY7918 DNA, complete genome.
AGUAACAUAGUUCCGCUGCCCAAGACAGCAGGUACCGACAAGGUUUAAUCGCAGCAAUGCGGCCCGCCGAGGUGGUUCUGAUAAGUUUCGCGCUUUGACGACCCCUGCGUCUUUGGACGGCAGGGGUCGUUUCUUUUUCUCAAG